GAUGUUUGGUUUCUUAGGCAUACAGUAGAUAAGAUUUACAGACUCAUCAAGGCUUCCAUGCAGAUUUCAAAGGAAAGGCCGAGAUGCCAAGCAGUGUGCAACAGGACCAGAGUAGACCCAAAGAGUGCAAUACCUGACACCGUGGUAAUCAAGCUGGAUCCAUACUGGAAAACUUAGGGCAGAGUUUUCAUCAUCAUGCCAGGACUGCUAAAGCCAAGGGACCUCUGAAGUUGGAAUCAGUGCAGUUUGCUUUACGAGACGGCCUGGGGGGGAGGGGGAGCAAGGGCGGAAUGUGAAUUGAAUGGAAAAUGUCUUCCAUAGGCUCACAGAUUCGCAUACUUGGUUCCUGGCUGGUGGUGCUGCAAGUGGAGCCUCACUAGAGAAAGCGGGUCACUGGGAGUGAGUGGGUCUUGAGCUUUUAAUAACCCAGUCUAUUUCCUGCCCUGCUUCCGAACUAGCGAUGCAAGGUGGCUGGAUGCCACCAUCGUAGAUUCCAUCCCUUCACACAUUAAGCCAGAAUAAACCUUCCCUCCCUUACAUUGCUUCUUGAUAGGUAUUUGGUGACAUCAGCAAGAAGAGUAACUUACACCCUGGCACUUAGAGACUGUCAGAACAGGAGGGUCACACACGGGAAGCACAGAGGCAGUGUUGCCAAGAGGCUGGCCACGGUCGAUAGCUAAGGAGCUAGAAAACAGCACUGGUGAGGGCGCCAGGACAGAGAAGUCAAAAGUCCCCAAAGUCUUAACAAUUUCAAAGCAGAAGCCGUUUCUCUCUCUCUGUAUUAGUUGCUUUUCCAGUUACUGUAAUAAGAAAGAAAAAGAAAAGGAAAGAAAAGAAAAGGGAAGGGAAGGGAAGGGAAGGGAAGGGAAGGGAAGGGAAGGGAAGGGAAGGGAAGGGAAGGGAAGGGGAGGGGAGGGGAGGGAAGGGAAGAGAGGAAAAGAAAAUUGACAGAAGCAACUUUAGGAAAAGAGUAUUUAUUCAGCAUCAUAGUUUAAGAAGGGACAUAACCCUUCAUGCUGGGAAGGCAUGGGCAGGAAGGUGAGGUGGCUGGUCACAUUGUCGUCCACAGUUGUGGGGCAGUGGACCUUGCCACCAGACUGGUAAGGUUGCAGCAAAGUUCAAAACCCCCAAUAAAACUCAUUACUGAGAAUGGCAGGAGUUCAGACUAGCUCCCGACAAGAUUCCUGUCCUGGAGAUGUGACCACCCCAGUAAGAGGACCAUGACAAUCAGUCAUGUGAGAACAACACCUGAAGUCCUUCCCCAUGCAAAUGGGGGGGGGGGGUCCCUAACUUCUCAGACUGAGCCAAUGGGAAGAUUGACCCCUAGAUCCCACCCCAAAAAUGUUUAUAGGGUCCCUGUCCACAAGGAAUAAAGUGCAGGAGUGAUUUCACCAAAGGCUGUGUGAGAGCGCCUGUCUUGUCGAGCUGUAACACCCCAGGGAAGAGUUUUCUUUCCGGAAGCAGUCAUCGCUGGACCUCAAACCCAUGCUUGACUGCAGCUACUUCCUGCUUGGUGUCUGACUCAGGCUCCUAGCUUGCCUUGCUCCAGCUUCCCCCAGAGAGCUGUAAAGCCGAAUCCCCCAGAAACCUUUCAUUCUUGCCCGCCGGGCUGAGGAAUCCUGGCUGGCUGCUCCCCAGGACGCAGACUGGCACAGUCAGGAAAUGGAGGCCGAUCCUGGAGUUCCACUGGACUAUUCCCCUUUUCCCUAGCCCAUGGGACAGUGCAGCCCACAUUCCAGGUAGACCCUCCACCCUAAGUUAACCCUCACGGGAGAUUUCUAGAGAUAGAUCCAUGAGGUGGUUCCUAAUCCUGUCAGGUUGACAGUAAAGGCUAACCAUCACAGGUCCACCACCCCUUGUCAAAUUGACACCCGAGCACAACACUUUAACUUUCUACUCCAGGUCCCCCAAAAUGUUUGUGGUCAUCUCAAGUCACAUUUAAUUUCAUCUUCAAAAGUCCCCCAAAGUCUUAACAGUUUGAAAACCUUUCAAAAGUUCAAUGUAUCUUCUGAGACUCAAGGCAAUCCUGUUUAAACGUUUUAAAUUACAUACCUUCUAAAAUGCAAUGGGACAAAAUAAACACAUAUCCCCAAAGGGAGAAUGGAGAAAUUGCAAUGAAAGUGGAACCUAGAGCAAGCUGAAGCCCUGCAGGGAAAACACCCAACUUUCAUCUCCAUUGCCAGCAUCUGGAAUUCGUCACAAAAUCAUCUAAUUUCCAGUGACCUCCAGGUAGCCCACCCUACACCUUUACCACCUAUAGCACGUGUGACCUCUCUUUUGAGCCAGCUUGAUUCCAUGCCUGUAGAUUUCCUUGUGGGUGUAUCAUGCUUCGGGUAUCUCCAACGUUCCAGGCUCUCCGCUGCAAUUUAGGCUUCACCUUGCGUGUUUCCCACAAUGGUCUCCCAUGGCCUCCUUGUGGGGACUCUGACCCUGUCAACAUUGCCUGCCACCAGUGCCACCAUGAAACUUUGGUGCGAGCUUCCAUAGCCCUCUUGCUUCUGCAUUUUGCGUUUUACUGUUAUAUGCGUGAAUGUUUUGCCUGUGUGUGUGUCUCAGUAUCACAUGCCUGCAGGCCGGGAGAGGAUGUCAGACCCUCUGGAACUGGAGUUAUUGACAGUUGUUAGGCUCCAUGAGGUUGCUGAGAACUGUACCCUGGUCUUCCAGAAGAGCAGCCACCUGUGCUCCUGACCUCUGAGCCAUCUCACCAGUCCACGCUUGCAUUCUGAAUGCCUGCAAAGCCCUCACCCUGUGACUGAUCCUGGCAAGUUCCGUUGCUGGCUCAUGAUGUAGUUGGCAUGUUUCUACCACCACUGCAACGCCUUCUGCAGCUUUUGUUUCUGACCCUGGGAGAACGCUUCCCUAUGCAGUGUUUGGGAACCAAACAGUCCCUCGGUGGCACUGUCAACACAGCCUCUCUUCCUUCAAACGAAUUUGUGUUUGCACACAAGUGGAGCCUUCAGUGGGUGGGUGCAGAGCCCAGGUCUCCACUUUAGUGACACUAAUGUCCUUAACAACCAUAGCUGUUCCCCCUCCCCUACCUUGUUUGCAACUUUAAACUCUCUUGUGUAUCUUUCCUUGUCAAACUGCAUAGUUUUGAUAUGCUUUAAAUUCUCACUGUGAGUCUCAGGUGCAAUGGCCGUAACCAUUGCAGGCUUAAUACUACUCUGUCUUUAAUGUUCCUCUGCCAAACUAACUUAGCCUGUUCCUUUUGAAUUCAGCCUCAUUCAAGUUUUAGGACGCAGGCAGAAAAUGACCAGAUUUCCACCACCACCCCUCUCUCCCCCACAAAGUAUAUGAAUAGCCUCUCAUUCCAUUCCUAGCAUGGCCUUUGUUCUCCUCUGAAACCCUGUAGCCGUCUUCACUACUUGCUUUUUUGUAUCUUUCUCCCACAAACCAGUUCCAAAGUCCUAUAAACCAUGCACUCCUGUGGUCAUGGCAACAGCUCCACUCCUCAACACCAAUUUCCUCUAUCCCUUUUCUUGUCACUGUAAGAAAAUAUCUGACUGAGGCAAUUUAAAGAUUUAUUUUGGCUCAGAAUUUAGGGAGGGACACAGUCUGCCACAGUAGAAAGGCCAUGUAGUCCAACAACGGCUGCCCCCAUGCUGGAGAGCCUGAGAGCCUGGGACUACUCAGUUUGUGAGUCUGGGCGCCUCUGCAGUUCCAAGUUAGUGCCGCUGGCCUAGAAGACUCCUGGAAAGUCCCUGGUGUUCAGUUCACAUUGGAAAGUCAAGAAAGCCGGCAUCUGAUGUCAGUGAAGCGUGGCCACCACAGCUACAGAGUAGACACGUUCAUCAUUAAGAAGCAAAGUCAGGGAGGCGAAGAAGACUGCUUCUUUUGCCCAGGUCUCUUUAUAUUUAGGAUGACUACAGGAAGGUGCCACCCACUCUGGAGGGUGUUCUCCUCUGUCAAUCAUUCCCAGAAGUGCCUUCUUAGUUGACACUGGAUCCCAACAAGUUGGCAACUAAGAUUAGGAUUCAUAUCAUGUAACUAAAAUCCAAGGCUAUUUAUUACUUGGGAGAAGAAAUAUAAAAGAUUUUUCAGAAAGUAGAAAAGCAAUCCAGUAUAGUGGAAAGUGACACGCAUUGUCUUACUUUCUUGCUUAGAAAAUACUAAUUUCUUAGAAGUAGACAAGAAGCAGCCUUUAUGGAGCAUUGAGUGCCAGCAAGGUGGCUCAGCAUGUAAAGAUGCUUGCUGCCAAGCCUGACGCUUCCAGUCCAUUCCCCAAGACCCAGAUGGUAGAGGGAGGGAACCAGCUGCCAUCACAUUGUCCACUGGCCACCACAUGAGUGCUGUGGUACACAAGCUUCUAUACAUCCACACACCACACACUCAAUAAAUAAAGUGUUGUGUUUUGAUUUUUAAUUGAUAAAGGAUCUAAAUAUAAUGCAGCUUUCUUUAUUCUGUGUAACCAACUCUCCUUAUCUAGUCUCACACUUUCCAAGCAAUUCUGAAAUAAAAUAUUGUGAAAUUAAAAACAAGAGUAUUAUUAGAGUAUUUGAUUCACAAAAAUUAAUAUUAAUUUUAGGGGAUAUCGCUCAAUGGUAGAUCACUAGUUUUACAUGUGCAAGGCCCUAGAUUCGAUUCCCAGCGCUCCAAAAAAUAUCCCUACAAUAUCUAUUUUACUAUGCUAAAAAUUAACUGAAACCAUGCAAAGGGAUUUUUCCAAACAGUCUAAGACAUGAUUAUCAUAUUCCAUCUGGUAAGGUUUCUCUUACUCUCUUCUUUGGGAAUUUUCAUUGUUAUUUAAAAAUUUCACAUAGAACUUACCAUACAACACGACAGAGCAUCGCCCUGCUUACUAUGUACCACGGAUUUCCAGAACUCUGUAUCUGCUAGACCGUGCCUACGUCCCUUCUUGCAAUCACUAACUAGUCAACCUAUUCUUUAGGAACUGAUUACAUUAGGCACAUCAUAGGAGAUUUAUGCAGUAUGUGUCCUUUUGUGAGUAGCUUAUUUCAUCUAACCUGUCUUCAGUGCUCGCCACAUUGUAGUACGAGCCAGGCCUUCACUAUCUGUAAGGCUGAAUAGUACCCUACAGUAUGUAUGCAUAACCCUUUGUUCAUCAUCACAGCAAACACAGGCUUUUUGGUUGCUUCUGUUUGGCUACUAUGGAUAAUGAUUCUAUGAACCUGGGCAUGAAAGCAUCUCUUCUAAACACUGCUUCUAAUUCUCCUGGAUGAGUACACUCCCUGACCAUUCUUAGGAUGACUAGGGUACACAGGAAUCCCAAAGGGCCUCCAUAGUGGUGACAUUUUAUAUACCUGCUAGUGGUAAGUAGGCUUUCAACUCCUCAUACCUUUUCCAACAUGACUUGUUUUGAUAAUGGCUGCCCUAAUGCUAUGGGAGAUAUUCCGAUAAAGCACUCAUUUGCAUAAAGCACUCUAAUUGAGGCUUGCAAGCAUAGAGAAGAGUUAGCAACCUAUAGACCUGUUUGGCUUGAGCUAAACACACACACACACACUUCUUAACAAUACACUUAGAGAUCAAAGACUUCUUCCUUGGGCUGCAUGCACACCCCUCUCCAAACAAAAGCAAUUAUGUCACUAUGUGUCAAGUGUGUUUUGAAGGAGAAAUUUAUUCCACGGGCUCAGCUGAUUGAACUUGCUUCCUGGCUGUUGGUGUUAUUUGGAGAGGUUAUGGAACCAUGUGGAGUCUUGCUGGAGGAUAGAUGCCCCUGCAGGCAGGCUUUGAAAGUUUAUCGCCUGGUCAUUUCCAGUGGACUCUCUGAUUCCCAUUUGAGGUCAGAGAGGUGCUCUCUAGUCUCCUGCUCUGGCGCCUGCUGUCAUAGCACUCCCACCAUUACAAAGACUCUCUCCAUAACUGUAAGACAAAAUAAACUCUCUCUUCCAUAAGCUGCUGUAGGUUAUGGUACUUUAUCACUGAAACAAAGAAUAAUUAACCCACACUCUGACAAAUAGCUCCCUGGCCACCUUUAAUAACUUCAUCUUAGCUGCUUCUCCAUUGCCGUGAAGAGGCACCCAGCAAGGUGACUUACAGCUCCAGAGGGCGAGGCUGUGGCCAUCAUGACAGAGGGCAUGGAGGCAGGGAGGCAGACAGGGCAAACAGGAGCUGAGAACUUACAACCGCAAGGCCGAGGGAGCUAACAUGGAAAUGGUGCUGGCUUUUGACAUCUCAAAGCCUAUCUCCAAUAACAUUACCUCUCCCAAUGCGGCUGUACCUCCAAAUCCUUCUCAAACAGUUCUACCAACUUUGGACCAAGUAUUCAAAUGUAAGAGCUUAUGGGGGCCACUUUCAUUCAAACUACUAUAUUCCACUCCCUGGCCUCCAUGGGCUUAUGGCCAUAUCGCAGUGCAAAAUUCAUUUAGUUCAACUUCAAAAGUGUUAUAGAGUCUUUCAGUCUCAAGACUGUCUAAAAGUUUAAGGUCUCCUCUGAGACUCAAAGCAAUUCUUAGCUGUAACCCCCUGCAAAUCACAAAGUGAAUUACAUCCUUCUAACAUUCAAGGCAUAGAAUAUACACUGCCAUUCCAAAGUGGAGGAAUUGGGGCAUACUGAGGAAACACUGGACCAAAGAAAAUCCUGUGACUCCGUGUCUCAUGUCAAGGUCUCAUGUGGGAGAUGGCUUCAUCCCUCCAGCUCCGCUGACGGCACACACUUCUCUUGAGCUGGUUCCACUUCCAGUGUGCAGCUCUCCUGGGCAGGAAUGGCACACCUCGGAGUCUACAACAUAAUUCACAACUUCCCUCGUGGCCUCUCAGGGUCUCCACCUGUAGCCUUCCUUGCCACAUGCCUGACCUCAGCAGCUUUCCUUGACUGUAAAGGAAGACUCCACAGCCCCUUUCUCCUUCAUCCUUCAUGACUCUGAAACCAGAGCCACUGUAAGUUCUCCUCUUGAAUUUAAGGAUAGUGUCGAAUCCAGCUUAGACUGGUUUUCAGUGUAAGGCAAACUGUGUCUUCAAAAUUAACUUUUUUGGGGAAAAAGAAUCCCUUACCUACUUAUCUUACCCCUAGGCAUGACGAGGCAUUGAUUUGAUUAGAAUCAGCUCUAUCAAAGCAAAAGUCAUGCCUAGUGAAGAGGCUCCCACAAUUCCAGUCAGUCAAUCAAAACAGAAAACCACCUAUAUUCUAUCCGUAGUACCCAACUCCUCCUCCUUUUGGACUCUAUAAAAGAAAGGUUCAAACAAUAACCUCGCCUUGAGCAUUCUAGUUCAAACAGCUCACUGCUCCCUUGUGAUUCAUCUGCUCUGCUCCUUUGUUUUGCUUGAGAAUAAAACUCCCUGCUUUCCUCUCUGUGUGCUUUUGAGUAAGAUUCCAAGAACCUGGUGACACCCAGUCAAGGCAACUCGCCGUGACAUAAUUGGUCAUUUAUUAUCAUCUUGGGUUUUUGAGACAGGUUAUAUGUGUCUUUCUGGCCUUAAACUUGUAAUCAUCCUUCAUUCACGGGCACACCUGGUGGUGGUGACCUGCCAGGCACAUCAAAAUAAUGAAUUAUUUUUUUCUCUUCCCUCUGUAGCUUGAGGGGGCAAAGGCAGGGCCUUUAUACAUCCCAGCUAAGAAGUCUACAACUCAGCUAAUCCCCAGACCCUGCUAUUUUUGUUCAUUUGAAAAGAUAUACUUCCUUUGAGAAAAUGCCUACUUCGCCUCUUUUUGCGCUCAGUUCUGAAGAUCAAACCCCGCCUGCCCACUUUAAAAUUACGUUGUUUGAUUCUUGCUUUGAUUUCCUUUGCAUGUUCUGGACAUCAGCCCCGAACACCUUGCAAAUGCUUUCUUAUUUGGCAGGCUGUAUUUUCAUGUUGUGUCCUCUGAUAGCAGACAUCUUAAAAGCUUGAUGUAAUUUUAUCUGUCCUUAUUGUUCUUGCCUGUGGAUCUCUGUCAUGCUAAGAAAUCAAUGCUAAGCCCGAUGUCACGAAGCUUUUCCUAUUUUAGAAAUGUUGUAUGUAGUUUUACAUCUAUCACAGCCCAGUCCAAGCUGGUGUUCGCUUACCUUUACAAGAUAUGUGCUCGAAGCAUGUUUUUAAAGUCACAAGUUGAUGCAUGAAACAGGCCAUGGCAUACAAACUUGCAGAUGAAGGUCUGCAAGCGUGGGAAAUCUGGCCUUCCCGAGGGGUUAAUUACCCUUGCCCUGGCAGUCCUCUUAUCUCUCCUCUUAACUGCCUCUUUGUUUUAGCCUCACUAGCAUUGACCAGAGUCUGCUCAUCAGAGAACAAAGUUGAAGCUGAAAGAAGCCUAUCUCAGCCAGGAAAAUGGAUGAGGUAAUUAUGGUCCAGGUUUUGAAAAACAGUGAAGUAAAUCAGGCUGGAAUUCAAGAGAGGCAGGGCCUUCUGCCCCUUGGGGAUAAAAAUCACUGCAUCACACAUAUAGUAUGUUAAGUCUCAAACCCAGGUGCCUAUCAGCAUAGCAAAGCUAACCAUAUGCAAACCAGCUACCUUUCUUUCCAAUGAGUACCAGUUCCUACGAUCUGCCUGGUGCUCAGGUUUGGUCUCAAACUCCUACAAAGUAACUGCCUGGUGGAUCUGGCCCUAGGACAGCAGUCACAUCCUCUGGACCUUAAGUUUCAUGAUCUGGUUGCACAAUUCAGUUCCCCAUCUAUUUACUGGUAGACUAGUAUAAGUAACAUGGAGAACUCUUUGCUUGUGCAAACUGCAAUCCUUACCUGGUGUCUUAGGGAUGGUUAGGGAUAAAACACAGAGCCCAAAAGCAACUUGGGAGGGAAAGGGUCUAUUUUGCCUACACUUCCACAUCACUGCCUGUUUCAGUUAGGGUAACUAUUGCUAUGAUGAAACAGAAAGAUUGGGGAGGAAAGGAAAUCAGGGCAGGAACCAGAGACAGAACCUGGAGGCAGGAGCUGAUGCAGAGCCCAUAGAAGGGUGUUGCUUACUAGCUUGUUCCUCCUGGCUAGCUCAGUCGGCUAUCUUAUAGAACCCAGGACCACCAGCCCAGGGGUGGCACCACACAUAAUGGUCACAUAAGAAAAUGCCUUACAGGCUUGCCCACAGACCUAUCUAUACAGGCAUUUUCUCAAUUGAAGACUCCCUCUUCCCAAGUAACUGUAAUUUAUACCUGCAGUGUAUAGUUAGGGAACCUAUCAAUGAACAGUGCUAUCCCUUGAAAACCUAUACAAUUACAACAAGCAAUUUUGAAGGAUUUUUAAAAAUUUUUUCUUGGUUUAAAUCUAGAAACAGACACCUCUGACGCUAUAGGCUACAGCUUAGGCUGUUCACUGAAACAGCCCGUAGCAACGAAGGCCUGGUGGAUUGGCAGAAGAUGAGGUAACAAGUGUACGCCUCUUGAGAGAAGCGUGUUCACGGCUCGGGUCACCCACUCAAGCUUUAUGAGAAUGCUACUUUAUAGGAUUCAAGAACUGCGAAGUCCCCAGUCAGAGUGCCUCCUGGCUCCCAUUAGUAGGCCUGAUACGCGCACCAAGCAGGACCUGAUGAGUAAUUAGCGCACAGCAGCCCCGGGAGGAGCAAGCAGGCGAGGCGGACAUUCUUAAUCCGCCGUCGAUGCUAUAAACUCCGCUCUGAAAAGAGCCGCCACUGCGCAAGCUCCUCCGCCGCGCAGCAGACUAGAGAAGAACCGAGUCUAGGCCCGCCGCCACUACGGGCGUACGGACAGCACUGCGGAGCGGGACCUAUAGCUUCGGCGACCCAUAGUUUACUUGUAAACCUCGCAGUGCACGACGGGAAUGGUGGGACCACGGUCCGCGAUGCAUGCUGGGACUUGUAGUUUCCCUCGACGUCAGGACUACAACGUACAAUCCAAUACAGCGGUCCGCGCCGAAUGCGGGAGUCUGAAGUCUCCCGUAGUCGGAAUUCGCAGUGUACGACGGGAGAUGACAUCGAUUCGCACUGCAUGCCGGAACCUGUAGUCUCGAUGCGUCAGGACUAGCAGCGGGUGACAGAAAACUUGUGGCAGCGAUCCGCGUGACAUGGCUGUGGUCUCAACACCACGGACCGGUGCUCCGUGGGUGUGGACCAGCGCCUCUCGGCUCCGCGAGGGCCGAGUGUUUGCCCGCCGCUUGAGAGCACGCAGUCACGCGGCUGCACGUCGCCUGCCACGCCCUCCGUGACGCAGCACGCCCCCCCCCGGAAGUGAGUGCGCAGCGAGCGGCGGGUGAAGCCGGUGUCGGAGCGGGAACACCAGUGUCGCCGCCGCCCGCGGUGGGCGCCGCGCCCUGAGCGCCUUGUGUUUUCGUCUCUCACCUCUGUUGUGACCGUCCGUGCCGCUCUCUGGGUCACGAUGGAAGCGCCGCCCGCGGCCGGCGUCCCCACCGAGUGCACUCCGGCGGUGGCCGGGGCAGAGGUGCGCUGCCCCGGCCCCACGCCGCUGCGUCUGCUGGAGUGGAAGGUGGCGGCGGGCGCGACCGUGCGCAUCGGCUCGGUGCUGGCAGUGUGCGAAACCGCAGCCUCCGCGCAGCCCGCAGGGCCGGCACCGGCUCGCGCGGCCUCUGGGGGCUGCGUGCGCGCCGCGCGGACCGAGCGCAGGCUCAGGUCGGAGCGCGCCGGCGUGGUCCGUGAACUGUGUGCGCAGCCAGGCCAGGUGGUGGCCCCUGGAGCACUUCUGGUGAGAUUGGAAGGAUGCAGCCAUCCUGUUGUCAUGAAGGGCCUGUGUGCCGAGUGUGGCCAGGACCUGACCCAGCUGCAGAGUAAAAAUGGAAGGCAGCAGGUCCCCCUUUCCACAGCGACGGUUUCCAUGGUGCACAGUGUGCCGGAGUUGAUGGUGAGCUCUGAGCAAGCUGAGAAACUAGGAAGAGAGGAUCAGCAGCGACUACAUCGAAACAGAAAACUGGUUCUCAUGGUUGACUUGGACCAGACCCUGAUUCAUACGACUGAGCAGCACUGUCCCCAGAUGUCCAACAAAGGCAUCUUCCACUUCCAGCUGGGCCGGGGGGAGCCCAUGCUGCACACGCGCCUGAGGCCUCACUGCAAGGAUUUCCUGGAGAAAAUCGCCAAGCUGUAUGAGCUGCACGUUUUCACCUUCGGCAGCCGUCUGUAUGCCCACACCAUCGCAGGCUUUCUGGACCCCGAGAAGAAGCUUUUUUCUCAUCGAAUAUUGUCUAGAGAUGAAUGUAUUGACCCGUUUUCUAAAACAGGAAACCUUAGAAAUCUUUUCCCCUGUGGAGACUCAAUGGUUUGCAUCAUCGAUGACCGAGAAGAUGUGUGGAAGUUCGCCCCUAACCUCAUAACUGUGAAGAAGUACGUCUACUUCCCAGGCACAGGUGAUGUGAAUGCACCCCCUGCAGCCCGGGAAACUCAGGCAAGGAGAAAAGUAAAUCAUUCUUCUAAGGGAGGGGACGCCUUGGAACAAGCUCUCUCCGUGAGGGACCCUGAGGACGGCAGGCCUGCUCCCGGGGUGGAGCACAGCAAUGGCCUUGGGAAGGCCUCCCGAGAGCUCAAUGGUGGUGAGGCUGUGCCAGGAGUUUUUCCCAGUAAAGCAGAUGAGAAGGAAGCCUGGCCCCUCACUCGGGCCUCUCCUGCCAGCAGCUCUAGUGGCCACGAGCCAACUGAAGCUCCAGAGCUCCCUGUGUCUUGUGAGUGGGAUGGUCGGACAACGCCAGGGGUGCAGCCCACUCAGGGUGAUGCCGCCACCCAGGAUUUGGACUUUGACCUGUCCAGCGACAGCGAGAGCAGCGAGAGCAGCAGCAGGUCAGAAGGUCAGAGGGCUCCAGCCCCCCAGGAGAGAACAAAAGCAGCUCCAGAGCACAGUGGGCCCCAGGACACGAGUGGGGGCAGAGCUGCAGCAAGCCCCCUGGGAGAGUCUGGGCCUAGCAUCCACCCCCAUGACAAAGGGUCAGACCUGGACACUCAGGAGGAGGGUGAACGGGACAGCCUCUGUGGCCUGGGCAAUGGCAGUGUGGACCGGAAAGAGGCUGAAACGGAAUCCCAGAACAGUGAGCAGUCAGGUGUCACUGCAGGCGAGUCCCUAGAUCAGAGUGUCGGGGAGGAAGAGGAAGAGGACACAGACGACGAUGACCACUUGAUACACCUCGAGGAGAUCCUGGUCCGAGUACACACUGACUAUUACACAAAGUAUGACAGAUACCUCAACAAGGAGCUUGAGGAAGCUCCAGAUAUACGGAAAAUUGUGCCAGAGCUCAAGAGCAAGGUGCUCGCAGAUGUGGCUGUGAUAUUCAGUGGGCUGCACCCAACAAACUUUCCUGUGGAAAAGACUCGCGAGCACUAUCACGCCACGGCCCUGGGAGCCAAGGUCCUUACCCAGCUGGUGCUGAGCCCUGAUGCUCCAGACAGGGCCACUCACCUCAUUGCAGCACGGGCUGGUACAGAGAAGGUGCGCCAGGCACAGGAGUGCAAACACCUACAUGUGGUCAGCCCUGAUUGGCUGUGGAGCUGCCUGGAGCGCUGGGACAAGGUGGAGGAGCAGCUCUUCCCACUCAUAGAUGACGAUACCCGCACACAUAGGGAUAACAGCCCUGCAGUCUUUCCAGACAGACACAGUGUGCUUCCAACAGCCUUGUUCCAUCCAACACCCAUCCAUUCCAAGGCCCAUCCUGGUCCCGAGGUUCGGAUCUAUGACUCUAACACAGGCAAGCUGAUCCGGAUGGGCCCCCAGGGUUCUGCACCAGCUCCCUCCAGUGCCCCACUUAACCAUGGAGAGCCUUCCUCCUUCAGUUGGACAGCAGUGCUUCCAGAAUUUAAAGCAGCCGCAAAGUCAGUAUGUGCUGGUGUGCACCUGCGCAACACCUGUGCAGUCUGCCUUCCACGCUGCGGAAACCAACUCAGCCUCUCAUUUAUUUCCCUUAAAUAAAAAGCAAAGGCACCUUGUCUUAAGAGCUGUUCAGCCACAUCAGCAGCAAAUGUUUGGUGAAGAGUUGCCAGAAUCUCAAGAUGGAGAGCAGCCUGGCCCUGCUAGAAGAAAGCGACAACCCAGUAUGUCCGAGGCAAUGCCGCUGUACACUCUCUGUAAGGAGGACUUAGAGAGUAUGGACAAAGAGGUCGACGACAUCCUUGGAGAGGGCAGUGAUGACAGUGACAUCGAGAAGAAGAAGCCAGAAGACCAAGACAAUGAGCAGGAGAGAGCCCCGAAGCCCAGGAAGCCCCGGGCUCCAGGGAUCCGAAGAGAGCAGCCUGUAGGCUUGCCCUCAUCUGGCGAGAGGAGCACCCCUGGCAUGCGUGGGCCCAGAGGCCACAAGAGGAAACUAAAUGAGGAAGACGCUGCCAGCGAGUCCAGCGGGGAGUCCAGCAACGAUGAUGAGGAGGGCAGCAGUUCAGAAGCAGAUGAGAUGGCCGCUGCUCUGGAGGCGGAGCUUAAUGACCUCAUGUGACUUGGACCCGCCCCAUACCAGCCCUUGGCUUGGGUCCUUUUUCUCCAGAAAAACAUAUAUUUUGCAGAGCUCCACAUACAGAAACACAUUAUUUUGCAGAAAUAAGUGUUUGUAAGAAGUUUUACUAUAGGAAAGUCUACUUUUUUAAGCAGCAAAGUGUUCUGAGGAGUUGGUGUGUGAUGCCAAAGAGCUCAACGGGGCCUCUCAUGGUGAGCGUGGAUAGAUACGUGAUGUCUGGUCAUGUAGUGAGGGCCUUGGGGGCUUGCCUUUGAAUGCUAUAGCAUAUUUAGUGUGAGGACUGGGGACCCAGUAAGAUUUAGAGAGCAAUAUAGCAAAACCUGUCAUCUUGGACCUUUUUCACAGCUGAUGCUAUCAUAAUUUUGAAGGAUUUUUAAGUAAAACAGCAGUGUACAUAUGUGUGUACAGGACACCAAGACUCGCAGGCAGGCCUGAGAGCCCCAGCCACUCUUCCGGCCCUCGGCGGACCUGCAGAUGACCUGGAGUUCCUGAUUCAGGUCCCUGUCUGCAGCCCGGGCUGCCUGGGCCACAGCCUGCCAGUGUGGGCAGUGUGACGAAAGGCGGCCUGUACUGCCCUAAGAAAUCUGAUGUAAAGUUUUUGUAUAUUUCAUAUUCCACCCACCAGAUUCUGCUUCCAUUUAAUAAAACCCUUUUUGUAA